rnacentral:rRNA from 1 species
UCCCCUAGUAACUGCGAGUGAAGCGGGAAAAGCUCAAAUUUGAAAUCUGGCGGUCUUUGGCCGUCCGAGUUGUAGUCUGGAGAAGCGCUUUCCGCGCCGGACCGUGUACAAGUCCUCUGGAACGGGGCGUCGUAGAGGGUGAGAAUCCCGUCUUUGACACGGACCGCCGGUGCUUUGUGAUGCGCUCUCGAAGAGUCGAGUUGUUUGGGAAUGCAGCUCAAAACGGGUGGUGAAUUCCAUCUAAAGCUAAAUAUUGGCGAGAGACCGAUAGCGAACAAGUACCGUGAGGGAAAGAUGAAAAGCACUUUGGAAAGAGAGUUAAACAGUACGUGAAAUUGUUGAAAGGGAAACGCUUGAAGUCAGUCGCGUCGUCCGGGAUUCAGCCUUGCGAUCUCGCUCGGUGUACUUUCCGGUUCGACGGGCCAGCAUCGAUUUCGAUCGUCGGACAAAGGCGGGGGAAACGUGGCACCCUUUACCGGGUGUGUUUUAGUCCCUCGUCGGUAUACGGUGGUCGGGAUCGAGG